rnacentral:lncRNA from 1 species
CCUGCCUUGGCCUCCCAAAAUGCUGGGAUUAUAGGCAUGAGCAACUGCACCUAGCCUAAUUGCCCAAUUUCCCAAUUUUUUAUUUUUGAGAUGGAGUCUUGCUCUGUUGCCCAGGCUGGAGUGCAGUGGCAUGAUUUCAGCUGGCUGCAACCUCUGCCUCCCGGGUUCAAGCAGUUCUUCUGCCUCUGCCUCCCAAGUAGCUGGGAUUACAGCGCACGCCAACAUGCCCGGCUGUUUUGUAUUUUUAGUAGAGAUGGGGUUUCUCCAUGUUGGCCAGGCUGGUUUCGAACUCCUGAUCUCAAGUGAUCCGCCCACCUCGGCCUCCCAAAGUGCUGAGAUUACAGGCCUGAGCCACUGUGCCUGGCCCCCAAUUGUUUUCUCUAAUCUACACUGCUCGCCUGAACUGCAGGUUCACAUAUCUAACUGCCCACUGACCAUCAUCACCUACACGUUCCACAGAUACAACCUGUCCAAAACAAAUGAUCUCUUCCUAAAAUGAGGACUGUUUUCCCAUCUGCUGUUCUCACAAAUGGCACCACCAGUGGAUCUGCUUGUCCUCUGAGAGUACUCUCUUUCCUUCCAUCCAUCCCCAGGUCUUUGGCUCUCUGGGGUGCAUGCUCUCCUGCUGGCUGCCACAGCCGCUACCUUGCUUCAGGCCCAUGACAUUUGCCAGGAACAUCAGAAUCACCCUGACCUCUGGAUUCAUCUUCCUUGUGUCUGUCCUCCAAACCGCUGCCAGAUUCAUCACAAGUCUGGCCCUAUAACCUUUCCCAUCUCCAUUGGAAACCAUUCAGUGCCUGCCCAGACCCCACAGGAUGAAGUCCAAUCUUCCUCCAUGGCCCUCUAGGAUAUAGUUUCCUUACUUCCAUCAUGUCACCUCCUAUUGCCUGGCUCAAACUCCAGCUGUCACCCUGCUGCUGGCCUGAUGUGCUGUGAAGUUUCACUAUCCUGCAUCUGCACUUCCCUCUGUCUCAAAUGCCCUCCUCCUCAUUUCCUUGGUAAAUCCCUGCAUUCAUCCCUCAAGAUGCAGUUCAAAGUUACCCUAUGACUUCAUUCAGCACAGAUGCUGUUUUUCCUCUGUGCCACCAUUACAGUCUGGAACUGCUCUGUGGCAGCAAUAUGUAAUACUAUCAUUCUGUAUAUAUCACUGUGGGCCACCACAUUUAUAUGAAAAUGAUGUUUACACAUCUGCAAUCCCGAGGUGACAGAGAGUGGUAACUAGGGCAGCAAUACUGUCUUAUUAAGCUUUCUGCCUCAGGGUCUAGUAGGGGGUCUGAACUUUAUUCUAUAGACAAUAAGAUUUGUGAGAAUAACAAACUCUCACUUAGAAGUCAACUCAUGGCCCAGCACGGUGGCUCAUGCCAGUAACAUUGGGAGGCUGAGGCAGGCAGAUUGCUUAAACUCAGGAGUUCAAUAUCAGCCUGGGCAACAAAAUAAGACCUCGGUGUCUACAAAAUAUACAAAAAUCAGCUGGGUUUGGUGGCAUAUGCCUAUACUCCCAGCUACAUGGGAGGCUGAGGUGGGAGGACUGCUUGAUCCCAGGAGUCUGAGGCUGCACUGAGCCAUGAUCGCACCACUGCACUCCAGCCUGGGCAACCGAGCCAGAUCCUGUCUCAAAAAAAAAAACAAAAAACAAAACAAAACAGAAAUAGAGGAAAGAGCCCCUAGUACAAAACUGAAAAUGCCUACACAGAAGUGUGUGACCCUGGUGACAGGGGUGCCACCACCACAAAUCCCCAAACUUCAAAAAAUGACAACCAUGGGCCAGGCACGGUGGCUCACACCUAUAAUCCCAGCACUUUGGGAGGUGGAGGCGGGCAGAUCACCUGAGGUCAGGAGCUCAAGACCAGCCUGGCUAACACGGAGAAACUCC